GAGCGCCCGCACCAGAAACUCCCGUUAUAUCACGUCACUUCCUCUCCUCCUCCUUCUCCAUCGCCCUCUCUUCUCGAAGCAUCCAUCGAUCAACGUUAGUUUGUCAAGCUCCGCGAGCUCCUCGUGCAGGAAAAGCGAAAAUGAGCCGCCGUUCUAGCUGCACAAUCUAUGUUGGGAAUCUGCCCGGGGACGUCCGGAUGAGGGAAGUUGAGGACUUGUUCUAUAAGUAUGGGCCCAUUGUUGACGUUGAUUUAAAGAUCCCUCCCAGACCACCAGGUUAUGCUUUUGUUGAGUUUGAAGACCCUCGUGAUGCUGAAGAUGCAAUUCGUGGUCGUGAUGGAUAUAAGUUUGAUGGGUACCGUCUGCGAGUUGAGCUGGCACAUGGUGGGCGAGGAUAUUCUUCAUCUGUGGACCGAUAUGGCAGCGGAAGUAGCCGUGGAGGAGUUGGCAGGCACUCUGACUAUCGUGUUUUGGUCACUGGAUUGCCUUCUUCAGCAUCAUGGCAGGACCUGAAGGAUCACAUGCGUCGGGCAGGAGAUGUCUGUUUUUCUGAAGUAUUCCGUGAGCGUGAUGGUGUUACUGGAAUUGUCGAUUACACAAGCUAUGAUGACAUGAAAUAUGCCAUCAAGAAACUCGAUGACACUUUAUUCAGGAAUGCCUUCAGUCGGGCUUAUAUACGGGUAAGAGAGUAUGAUUCAAGGAGGAGUUAUUCUAGGAGUCCCAGUCGUAGCCCCCGCUAUUCAAGGAGUCGCAGCCCUAGCUACAGCCGUAGCUACAGUGACAGAAGCAGGAGCAGGUCUCCUAGGAAAAAAUACUCAAGACGGUCUCCAUCAGUAUCUCCAGCAAGGUCCGUUUCUUCUAGAUCCCGCUCAGGGUCUUAUGCUCACUCUUACUCAAGAUCAGGAAUCUUCUGGCAUCCUGGGGAUCCCUCAUAAGGACCUUCAUGGGAUGUGGUGCUACUCUGUAAGUUGUUGAGGUAAAAAUCCUGUUUUGGAAUGAGUGGCUACAGAACUGGAACUACACCAAUGUUGAAUUAAUCGUAAGACAUUGUAUGCCAUCUGGCACUGGGUGUUCUCUGAGUUGUCAUUAUGCAUGGAUGUGAUGAUUUCAAGAUAGAUUCUAAUGCGAUGCAGCUGGUAUUACGGAUCAGCAAUGCAUGUUCACGUCCAGAAACCGGGCUCGACCCUCCGUCAAUGACUCAGAAAUUUAGGUUGAUUGUAGUGUAAGUGACAGUGAAAGGCAAUAUAUUCUUCUCUGGCUGGAAGAGGAUAAUGCUUUGGGUUCUUUUUGGAAAUUUGACUAUGGUCAACUGUGACGUGAGGCAGCUGGAUGCUGAGCCUGAUCAUACUCAAAGGUCUCAAAGUGUUUUAAGUGGUUUACUAUGGUAUUAACAUCUUGACACUUUUGCAGAUCUCGUUCAAGAUCCAGAACUCCACUGUCACCUGCUUCUCGCGGAAAACAUACUAGUCGAAGCUCGAGAAGAAGCUUAUCUGAAUCUCGCUCACCUUCGGUUCGAUCUAGAAGCCGUUCAGUGGACUCUAGGGAAUACUAUUGAGAAUGGC